AGCUCUAAUAGCGUAUAUUAAAUUUGUUGCGGUUGAAACGCUCGUAGUUGAAUCGCGCGGUGACUUUACUUGCUGGCGGUCCGCCCUUCUUGGGUGCUGUACUGCCGGCAGUCGCCGUAUAGUCGGGAGUGUUGGCAGCAAUGCUGGCAUUCUCAUUUUACUUUGAGUAAAUUAGAGUGUUCAAAGCAGGCGAAAGUUUUCGGCCACUGAAUACUAGAGCAUGGGAUAAUCGAAUAGGACUUUGGUUCUGGCAGAAUUUGUUGGUUGGCCCUUCGGGGCUCUAGGACCGAAGUAAUGAUUAACAGGGACAGUUGGGGGCAUUCGUAUUUGCCAGUCAGAGGUGAAAUUCUUGGAUUUGGUAAAGACGAACGCGUGCGAAAGCAUUUGCCAAGGAUGUUUU
rnacentral:rRNA from 1 species